rfam:Acidaminococcus sp. CAG:917 genomic scaffold, scf59
AUUUAAAUAAUCUAAAUGCCGAAGACAGCAAGUGCGAAAGCUUAAAACCAAAAUGCUUGCCGAGGAAUUACACGAAACACAAGUGUCGUUCUGCUUUGGCGUGCGACACUUUUUUGUCGCCUAU